rnacentral:rRNA from 1 species
GCAGCCGCGGUAAUACGAAGGUCCCGAGCGUUGUUCGGAAUCACUGGGCGUAAAGGGAGCGUAGGCGGCGUGGUAAGUCAGAUGUGAAAUCCCGGGGCUCAACCCCGGAACUGCAUCCGAUACUGCCGUGCUAGAGGAUUGGAGAGGUAGCUGGAAUUCUUGGUGUAGCAGUGAAAUGCGUGGAGAUCAAGAGGAACACUCGUGGCGAAAGCGAGCUACUGGACAAUAUCUGACGCUGAGGCUCGAAGGCCAGGGUAGCGAA